rnacentral:sRNA from 1 species
GUUAGAGGAACAACGGCUAAAACCAUCACGUCCUGUGAUAACGUCUUCGUGACCAACAUCGUGCUGU